rnacentral:rRNA from 1 species
GAGGGUGCGAGCGUUAAUCGGAAUUACUGGGCGUAAAGCGUGCGUAGACGGUCAUGUAAGUCGGGUGUGAAAGCCCCGGGCUCAACCUGGGAAUUGCAUUCGAGACUGCAUGGCUAGGGUGCGGAAGAGGGAAGCGGAAUUUCCGGUGUAGCGGUGAAAUGCGUAGAUAUCGGAAGGAACACCAGUGGCGAAAGCGGCUUCCUGGUCCAGCACCGACGUUCAGGCACGAAAGCGUGGGGAGCAAACAGG